UCCCGACAAAUGAUGACUUUUAUGCAUAGUUCAGAUGAUGAUCUUUUUAGAUCGUGAUUACUUUGCUUUAUUAGUCUUUCGCUCCUAUCUGAUGUCUUUC
rnacentral:snoRNA from 1 species